rnacentral:rRNA from 1 species
UACGGGGGGGGCAAGCGUUGUUCGGAAUUACUGGGCGUAAAGGGCUCGUAGGCGGCCAACUGAGUCGGACGUGAAAUCCCUCGGCUUAACCGGGGAACUGCGUCUGAUACUGGAUGGCUUGAGAAUGGGAGAGGGAUGCGGAAUUCCAGGUGUAGCGGUGAAAUUCGUAGAUAUUCGCAAGAACACCAGUGGCGAAGGCGGCUCGCUGGUCCGGUACUGACGCUAAGGCGCGACAGCGUGGGGAGCAAACGGG